rnacentral:miRNA from 1 species
AGAGAUUGGAAAUGUACUUUU